rnacentral:rRNA from 1 species
UACGUAGGGUGCAAGCGUUGUCCGGAAUUAUUGGGCGUAAAGAGCUCGUAGGCGGUCUGUCGCGUCUGCUGUGAAAACUCAGGGCUUAACCCUGAGCUUGCAGUGGGUACGGGCAGACUAGAGUGCGGUAGGGGAGACUGGAAUUCCUGGUGUAGCGGUGAAAUGCGCAGAUAUCAGGGAGGAACACCCAAUGGGCGAAAGGCAGAUCUCUGGGCCGU